GGGCUAUUAGCUCAGUUGGUUAGAGCACACCCCUGAUAAGGGUGAGGCCCCUGGUUCAAGUCCAGGAUAGCCCA
rnacentral:tRNA from 4 species